rnacentral:lncRNA from 1 species
GCAGUCAGCCACAAGUGGCACCUGAACAGGGACUAACAGGGACAGAGACCUGGAGGGACCUGAUAUGGACUUGAACGAAGAAGGUCUGCUUGAACAGAAAAAACUAAAACCAGCUAGAAGAAUGAGAAAUGCCGCUACAAGUCUGCCGGCAGCAACAAGAGGCUUUAAGACACCUGCCGUAUGUUGUCUUUAGUAAUUGCUACAGCUCCCUUCUCUAUACAAUUGUUAUAGCAUCUAGCAUUGCUGAAGACUCAAUCUUCACACAACUGACUCUAAUGCUGAAUUCCUGAUUGUGACACCACUGCCUGGGGAAAGUGUCUCACCACAACAAAGUAGGGGAAUGGGUGGAGAUUAGGAGAUUUACCAACACCUCUUUUCUCAUUUGCUCAACAUUCCUGGUCAAUGCAAAACUUCAGCAACCCAAUGCAUAAUCGACCAUCAUACUUGUAUUAAUUUCCUACACGAAUGUGUAGGGGCACCUUAGGCUUGCUGGAUUCCUCAGCUAAAGAAAAGAGAUUCAUGUUAAACAUUGUCUCCAUCUACUACUCUACUUCUCCUUGGCCUUCAGAACUGAAGCCUCAAGGGAGUAUGAACUUCCCAGAUGAGAGUGUAACCCAAGAAAGAGAAGACAUGAGUGCUGGGAUCAUUCUCACGAUUUCACCUUCUAUCUACAAGCUUAAGACUCCCCAAAUUUAUAUCUAUCUCUACAUGUUUAAUGGAUGUCUUCACUUAAAAGUCAUCAGGUACCUCAAAUAUGCUCAAGAUGUAAUGUAGCAUCUUCUUCCCUAACCAUGAUAUAUUUCUCAAAUUGGACUCUCUGGUUACAG